UUUUUCCAGAAAGAACAACGUGAGUAGCCAUUUCUUCCUUCCUGCCCACCGUUCUUUGCCGCGUAACUGCCAGUCCUGCCGUGAGGUUCCCUUUUCGGGGUAGAUGAGGGAAGGGGCACAGUUGGUCCUGGCAUGGCCACUUUCUCUCUGGGUUACGGGAUUUAUUCUGCUGAUAAAAAAGUGGGAAACACCAGUUCAUUAAAAAAAAAAGCAAAGUACAGGUAGUCAUCGAGUUACGAUGAUUUGUUUAGUGACUGUUUGUACCUGAUUCUCGCGGUUACAAGCUUAUAACGUGGCCAUGUGAUUGACAUUUGGUGAUGGUACACCAUCCUGGGAGUGCUGUGAACGCCAUUUGUGAAGUCAAUGGAGAAGCUGGCAAUGUCUCGCUUAACAACCUCACUGCUUAGUGAUCCAUUUUCCAGGCCCUAUUGUGGUUGUAGCUCAAGGACUACCUGUACAGUAAAUGAAAAGCCAUGAAACAAAACUGAUCAAAACCAACAUUCAAACAGUAAAUCAGUGUUCCCUGGCUUUCAGCCCCUGGGAAUUAUGGGAUGUAAAUUCCCAGAAUCCUCCAGUGGACCAUUUCCAGCAUGUCUUUGAACUCUUCAGUUGAAGAAGACAUUUGGGAUUUGACAUCUACCCAUCUUAAAGCAUGCUGGCCAGGGAAUUCUGGGAAUUGUAGUCUAUCAGUCUUAAAGCAUGCUGGCCAGGGAAUUCUGGGGGUUGAAGUCCACCCAUCUGAAAGUUGCCAAGGUUGGGAAACGCUCUCCUAAUCUCUCAUCUUCCCCUUCUCCAAUCUUUUCCAGAAGUACCAGUAAGAAGGUCAUUUACAGCCAGCCUUCCAACCGAAGCGACGGUGACUUUAAACAAACUUCUUCCUUCCUGGUCUGAUCGUGGCUUACGGACUUUGCCUUUUACAGGAGUGCUGUAAAUGUUCCCAGUGGAUCUUUGUAAUUAAGUGUGAUUUUUUUUCAGUGGUUAUUUUGUUAAUAUAUAUAAAUAUAUGUAUGUGUAUAAAAUAAUAGUUUGCCUUUACAUAUUUUUUUUAAAAAAACAGUUGCUAUUUAAAAAGGCGGUGCUUCCAGCCUUCUAUUCAGAAUAUUUUCAUCGUUUUUAAGAACUGGAGCCUUGAGUUCUGGUACAAAAGGACUUAAUUCCGUAGUGUGCCUAAUUUUUUCAGGCUGAUAUCUUGUCACUCAAAUUCAGUUUGAGGUAGUUAUGAGUUUAAGGACAGGGGUUAAGAAGUGGAUUUCAUUUCUGUCCUCCAAAAGUCAGUCGUUCCCAACCUUGGCAACUUUAAGAUGGGUGGACUUCAACUCCCAGAAAGAUGGCUGGGGAAUUCUGGGAGUUGAAAUCCACCCAACUUAAAGCUGCCAUGGUUGAGAAACGCUGAUCCAGAGGCCAAAUUUGAACAAGAACCCAACUCCUGCAUUUAAUUGUGUAGCAGAUAAAAUAGCCAUAGUGCAUUCUCUCUGUCAAGGAAGUUUGUGCUGAAGGACGAUUGCUAAACCUCUCUUCCUUAGGGAGGGAGUUAGAUUUGCUGAAAUUACUCCAGCUAGGACUCUCUCUCUCUUACCAUUAUUUGCUUUUAUUAAUAUUAUGAUAUUCUUAUACUUUUUUUUAAAUGCUGGACACCAAAAAUGCUGGAAAUAAACUUUUGAUUCAACAAAUGUGUGGUGUUGAAAUUUAUCUGGAUCUUAGCUUUGGGUUCUUGACUUAGAACAUUUCGCUUAGUGAGUAUUCAAAGUUACAGUGACAUGGAACCAAGUGACUUAUGGCCAUUUUUCAUCACUUACAAGAGCAUGGGGAUACCUCAACAUACGACCGUUAUAGUGCCCCACCGCUCUCACAGGAUUUGCAUUCCGAUGCUUGGCAACUGACUCAGAUUUAUGACGGUCACGGUGCCCUGGAGCCACGUGAUCCCCUUUUUCUGCCAAC
rnacentral:lncRNA from 1 species